GAUGAACGCUGGCGGCGUGCUUAACACAUGCAAGUCGAACGAAGCACUUCAUAAAGCUUGCUUUAGGAAGUGACUUAGUGGCGGACGGGUGAGUAACGCGUGGGUAACCUGCCUUACACAGGGGGAUAACAGUUAGAAAUGACUGCUAAUACCGCAUAAAACAGCAGAGUCGCAUGACUCAACUGUCAAAGAUUUAUCGGUGUAAGAUGGACCCGCGUCUGAUUAGCUUGUUGGUGGGUAACGGCCUACCAAGGCAACGAUCAGUAGCCGGCCUGAGAGGGUGAACGGCCACAUUGGGACUGAGACACGGCCCAAAACUCCUACGGGAGGCAGCAGUGGGGAAUAUUGGACAAUGGGCGAAAGCCUGAUCCAGCGACGCCGCGUGAGCGAUGAAGUAUUUCGGUAUGUAAAGCUCUAUCAGCAGGGAAGAAAACGACGGUACCUGACUAAGAAGCCCCGGCUAACUACGUG
rnacentral:rRNA from 1 species